GAUUUUAUCUGAUCCAAUUAAGAUCUAAGGCAGGUAUGGGUUCUAAAUAAAAUCUUGAAGCGGGUUCAGGUGGGGUAUGGGUAAUGGUAUGCUUCACCUUGAAUCUGACCCGAUAUAAAUUUAAUAUAUGGGUAUGACAUUUUUAAUUCAGGACGGGUAUGGAUAUUGGCCGACUCGACUCAUACCCAAUCCAUUGCCAUCCAUAGGACGAUAUGAGGAUUUGAACCCCAAAUUUUUAGAUGGCCUAACCACCACCUUAACCAAUAAGCCACAAUUGUCUAUUUUUAAAUUGAUUGAUAAUAUAUUUAUAUUGUCUAGACUCUUACAUAUAAACACCCAACACAAAACCCUAGCCAUCAUCUAAGCUUCCCUAUGUAGCUGCGCCAAGCUUCCCACCUAAUUGAGACUUUUGAGGACAUAAAAAAUAGGAAAAAUCUGGGGAAAUCAUUGGGAAAAUCAAUGAAAACAAAGGAAAAAUGGAAAAAAAUUAAAAGGUAAGUCCUUUUCUCACGAAGAUUGAUCAUUUUUUUCUUUUUACGUCCUUUUAUUUUCAUUUCAUUCUCUUUUUUGGAGAUUUGUGGGGAAGGAGAGAACUUAAGGGAGAUCAGAGGGUUUCUUAAGUUCCGAUGGGGUUUUUUCUCAAGCAUAUGAGCCAACGUGGAAGAUGUGGCGGUGUGAGCUGCAGAGGACAGCGAUGAGAAGGUUGAGGGCAGGGGCACCGGGGGAACCUCAAGGCGUUCAGCAAAGGCAGCGAGGAACCGGAGGGUGUGGGGGAGGGAGAGGAGGUGGAGAAGGUGAGGAAGGAGAGGGGCAGUUGGAAAGGGGAAGAGGCAGAUGAGGGGGAGGGUGGGGGAGGGGGAGGAGAUCACGCAUCAAUAUGAUGGGGGUAGGAAGCCUGAUUAUCAUAGGAAAAAUAUAAUGACAUCUCGACGUCAUUAUUUUUUUCCUAUAGGAUUAGCCACUUCCUAUUGAUUUUUUAUCCCAUACUUCAAUACCCCAAACAGUGGCUAAGAAAGAAAAUGGGAUUUUAAUCCAUAUGAUUUCCAAAUCCUAUAGGAUUUGGGCCAAUCCUAUCCUUUCUAAACAGGCCCUUGUUGUGAUUCCGAUCCUCCUCAAUGUCCUCUAAAGGGUUUAUUUAUUUUCCUUGUCUCAUCAUUUCGAUUACAUAUCUUCACCUUGCAGCUUCUUGGCAGUCCCACAAAUGCAUACAUGUGAUGUUUAAUGCCACUUCAUUGUUGCAUGUGAAAAUUUGACAAACACAUGAUUGAUAUAUUGAAUUACUUGAGUAUCAGUUUGAUGUAAUCAUGGCGCAAUGCUUCAGUGUUAAGGAUUCAGGGCUCUGCUAUGAAAUUUGUAUAUAGAACUAAUCCAACAGUAGGACUAAUAUUCCAAUGCAAAAGAGAGGACAUUAUUGUAUUUGCUUCUCUCUUGUUUAUGAAACUUAAUGUCUUUGAAAGUAUGAUUUUGUUUGAAGGAUAAUGGGGUUAUCAAAAUGUAGAUUUAAAAUGUGUCUUUUUUCAGAACAGAUCUAUUUUAACUGUCAUGGGAAAGCAAUUGCAUUAACGAGAUAAAAAUGAAGAUGGAGAAGAAAAUAAUGACUGUAAGACAUCGUGUCUUGUAUUGCAGCUGCAAUGCCAAAAGGAACGUAUAAUUAACCACAGACCAUAGGAGGGUAUGAUAUGUGGAAAGGCUUCAGAUUGUAAAAAAGCAAUAAAAUAAAGAUCAGCACGGCCAUGGAUUUGAAAAGUUAGCCUCUUACGUUGAUGUUUUUCAUGAUGAGAAUAAUUGUUUAAAUUCAGGAGGUUACCAAAUACAUUGGUAAUCUUGGAGGUCAUUAUUUUGCUGAGAGGUAAUGCAUACAAAUUAGCAAUUUUUUUAAUGAUUUUGACUUGCAUAUAGAGUGGUGCAAAUAUACACUGAGAUGUAUUAAUUGGAUUAAUUUGUUCAGCAUUGAAUGGACAGAUUGUAGCAUUGUUUGCAUUUAGAGGUGUGUGCUUUUGUUGGUUGGAAAAAUGAUAUGACUUCUAUUCCCUUCAUUCAUAUGCCAUCUGUAUCUUAAUAUUUAAAAUUUAUGUUCCAUGUGAGUAUUUUAUUUCCUUUUUGAAGGAUGAUCUUGAGGGUUGUUUUCAUAUUGCCUCUUUUUGACUGUGCCCCUUGUUCUGAUGUUUGUAUUCAACUUAAUCAGUGAUGCAUUCAUAGUGCUUUUUAAAUUUAUCAAGCCUUUCUACUUUUUGCAUAUUAUAUUUUGUAUCCAUUGUUUGCAUCUUUUUUGUAUUAUAAUUUAUGCAUCUUUUUUGUAAUUUUGUAUAAUAUUUAGAUUUUUCUGAGCAAGCAAAAUAAGAAAAGGGCUACCAAGAGGAGUUGGAAGAGCAUCUGAUUUAACUGGUUGCACUAUUGUUUGGUAAGAAGGCAAGUGGAUCCUGGAACUUUAAAAUUACUGUUCUCUUGUAUCUUGCAUGCUGUGUUUCUUAGUCUGUAAGUUAAUUUGUUUAUGACUGCGUAAUCAACUUUUGGAAGCAAGUGUGUGCUCCACCAUAUUGUUGAUAAGGAUCUAGGUGAAGUUGGACUGGGUAAUUGUAUGCACGUAGUUGGCCCUGAUUAAUUAGAGAAUAUGAUUUAGCAAAGUUGUUACAUUCAAUGCAAAAUAAAUAAAGUUUCUAUAUAUUUGCUGGAAACUCUUGUUAAAUUGCUUGCCAGUGUUACUACAGUAGUACAUGAACAAAAGGGCUUGUUUCACAAAGUGGAAAAGCAGACUUAUAAGUGGAAAACAUCAAAAUCUGAACUUAGAAUGAAGUAGCUGGUUUCAUUAUACGGUUAUAAAAAUGACUACGCAUAUGAAUGGUUUAUAUAUAAACACCAC
rnacentral:lncRNA from 1 species